AGCGGGAUAGCGCAGUUUGGAAGAGCGCGGGGCUCAUUACCCCGAGGUCGCCGGUUCGAAUCCGGCUCCCGCAACCA
rnacentral:tRNA from 1 species